UGGUGAGGCAUUGCUCUAGGGUGAGAGCAAGAAGGGGAGGUAACUCGCAUUUGUGUCCAUCUAUUGUGACACUCCAAAACCUAAGAUGAAGUUUUGGAAGAUUGUAAUCUUAUUAUCUGAGGCUGGGGUUUGGCAACCUUACAUUAGCUUCGAUCUGUACUAUGCCUACAUGUGAGUCUUCUAAAUUAUUCCAGAAAAUUAGUUUGUUUGGAAACUCAGUCACUUCUACCACUCUCUCUCUCUCAACACGUUUAUGUGAUUGCUUUUCAAACAUUCAAACGCUAAGAGAGUCAUAAAAUAGCAAUUGUUAAGAUUGUUUAUUAAUUUAUGAACAAAUCAGUG
rnacentral:lncRNA from 1 species